ensembl:lncRNA
CCUGCAGCUUCCCAGAGUAUGUUUGGAAAACAGACCAAUGUUAUCAGCCCAGAGGCCGCCUUGUACUUCACUGCCCAUGGACAGUGUCAUUUUGUGGGCUUAAAAGCAUUAAUUGAAAGCCUUCACCUCCUGCCUCCCUCUACCAGCGAUCAGCAGAGGCUGCUCUGUAGCUGUGUGCUGGGGCAAAGGGCUGACCCCAUUGCCCCCGCCUGCAGCACAGCCCUGCUCCCUGCCCUGCUGCCUUCCCUCUGCCACAAGUACCAAUUUUGCUCUUUGUGCCUGACAAGGAGGGUUUAAGCUGCCAGUGCUGGUUCUUUUUUUGGGCUCUGUUUGUUCUUGCUGUUUUUAAAGAAAUCUGUUUGCCUUCUUCUGAGCUGCUUUCUUCACCGUCUGUCACUGCUCAGGCACUUAAUCAAUGCUCAGAGCUUUCUUACUGCUGCUGCCUCCAUCUCCCUCCCUGCUCUCAUCCCAUCCCUGGGGGACGUCUCUCAUCUGCAGCUCCUCCAGAACCCCAAAGCAUGGGGCCUUACUUACCCUUAAUUUAAAAUAUUUUGAAUAUUUCUGUGGUUUCCACCUGCUCCCAGGUGUGACCACCUUGUGCUCCAGAGCCCUUUGGUUGUGGUGAAAUGUCGACGAUCCUGAAAUGGUUUGGACGGGAAGAUAAGGAGAGAGAGGAGAAGGAAGAGGAGAAGAAGCAGGAGGCAGAGGAGGAAAAGGACGAGGGAGUUGGGGACGGUGACAACAGGAGCAGCAGCAGCACAGAGGAGCCCCAGGACCAGGGCCGUGCUGAGGAUGUUGAGAAGGAAGCCCAGGAGUAGACUUGCUGGGCACGCCGAGGAGGUGGGGAUGCUGGAAGGGGCUGGCCACUGGUAGCCAAAUAAAAGCAUUUGGACCCCAAAGAGAGAUGCUGUUUAUUCAUCUCAGCAAGCUGUCCGUCCUCAAAACAGCUAUGAAAAG